rfam:Picea glauca, whole genome shotgun sequence.
UACCUGGUUGAUCCUACCAGUAUUCAUAUGCUUGUCUUAAAUAUUAAGCCAUGCAUGUCUAAGUAUGAACUAAUUUAGACUGUGAAACUGUGGAUGGCUCAUUAAAUCAGUUAUAGUAUCUUUGAUGGUACCCUACUACUCGGAUAACUGUAGUAAUUCUAGAGCUAAUACGUGCACCAAGUCCAAACUCUUUGGAAGGGAUUCAUUUAUUAGAUAAAAGGUCGGUGUGGGCUUGCCCACUUCUCCGGUGAAUCAUGAUAACUAGACGGAUCGCACAACCAUUUUGUUGGUGAUGCUUCAUUCAAAUUUCUUCCCUAUCAACUUUCUAUGGUAGGAUAGAUGCCUACCAUGGUGGUGAUGAGUGAAAGAGAAUUAGGGUUCGAUUGCAGAGAGGGAGCCUGAGAAAUGACUACCACAUCCAAGGAAGGUAGAAGGCGUGCAAAUUACCCAAUCCUGACAUGGGGAGGUAGUGACAAAACAUAGCAAUAAUGUGCUCAUUGAGUCUAGUAAUUGGAAUGAGUACAAUAUAAAUCCCUUAAUGAGGAUCCAUUAGAGGGAAAUUAUGGUGCCAGCAGGCAUGGUAAUUCCAACUUCAAUAGCGUAUAUUUAAGUUGUUUCAGUUAAAAAUCUCAUAGUUGGAACUUGGGUCAUAAAGGUCGGUCCGUCUACUCGUGUGCACCUGCCCUUCCGUCUCUUUUUCCAGUGGCAUGCUCCUCGCCUUAAUUGGCUGGGUCAUAGUUUUGAAAUUGUUACUUUGAAAAAAUUAGAUUAAUGAUUAAUAGGGACUGUCGAGGGCAUUCAUAUUUCAUUGUUAAAGGUGAAAUUCUUGGAUUUAUGAAAGACGGACCACUGCGAAAGCAUUUUCCAAGGAUGUUUUCAUUAAUCAAGAAUGAAAGUUGGGGGCUCGAAGACGAUCAGAUACCUUCCUAGUCUCAAACAUAAAUGAUGUCAACUAGGGAUCAACGGAUAUUUCUCUAAGGACUCCACUAGCACCUUCUCAGAAAUCAUAGUGUUUGGGUUUCAGGGGGAGUAUGGUUGCAAGGCUAAAACUUAAAGGAAUUAAUGGAAGGGCACCACCAGGAGUGGAGCCUGUGACUUAAUUUGACUCAACACGAGAAAAAUUACCAGGUUCGGACAUAGUAAGGAUUGACAUAUUGAGAGCUCUUUAUUGAUUCUAUGGGUGGUGGUGCAUGUCCAUUCUUAGUUGGUGGAGCAAUUUGUCUGGUUAAUUCCGAUAACGAAUGAGACCUCGGCCUGCUAACUAGCUACAGGGAGGUUCCCCUUCGCAGCCAGCUUCUUACAAGGACUAUGGACAUUUAGGCCAUGAAAGUUUGAGGCAAUAACAUGUUUGUGAUGCCCUUAGAUGUUUUGGGCCACACGCACACUACACUGAUGAAGUCAACGAGUUUUUCUCCCUGGUUCAAGAGGAUCAAGAAAUCUUCUCAAAUUGCAUCGUGAUGGGGAUAGACCAUUACAAUUAUUGAUCUUCAAUGAGGAAUUACUAAGAAGCGCGCUCAUGUUGACUACAUCCCUGCCCUUUGUACACACCAUCCGUCACUCCUACCGAUUGAUUGAUCCAAUGAAGUGUUCAUAUCACAUCAAUGAGGGUGGUUCUCCACCAACGAUGUUGUGAGAAUUUCACUGAACCUUAUCAUUUAGAGGAAGGAGAAGUUGUAACAAGGUUACCAUAGGUGAACCUGUGGUAGGAUCAUUG